AGGACGAACGCUGGCGGCGUGCUUAACACAUGCAAGUCGAACGGUGACGGAGGAGCUUGCUCCUCCCGAUCAGUGGCGAACGGGUGAGUAACACGUGAGUAACCUGCCCCAGACUCUGGAAUAACCCCGGGAAACCGGAGCUAAUACCGGAUACGAGACGAAGAGGCAUCUCUAUCGUCUGGAAAGUUUUUCGGUCUGGGAUGGACUCGCGGCCUAUCAGCUAGUUGGUGAGGUAAUGGCUCACCAAGGCGACGACGGGUA
rnacentral:rRNA from 1 species